GAUGAACGCUGGCGGCGUGCCUAAUACAUGCAAGUCGAGCGAACGGACGAGAAGCUUGCUUCUCUGAUGUUAGCGGCGGACGGGUGAGUAACACGUGGAUAACCUACCUAUAAGACUGGGAUAACUUCGGGAAUCCGGAGCUAAUACCGGAUAAUAUUUUGAACCGCAUGGUUCAAAAGUGAAAGACGGUCUUGCUGUCACUUACAGAUGGAUCCGCGCUGCAUUAGCUAGUUGGUAAGGUAACGGCUUACCAAGGCAACGAUGCAUAGCCGACCUGAGAGGGUGAUCGGCCACACUGGAACUGAGACACGGUCCAGACUCCUACGGGAGGCAGCAGUAGGGAAUCUUCCGCAAUGGGCGAAAGCCUGACGGAGCAACGCCGCGUGAGUGAUGAAGGUCUUCGGAUCGUAAAACUCUGUUAUUAGGGAAGAACAUAUGUGUAAGUAACUGUGCACAUCUUGACGGUACCUAAUCAGAAAGCCACGGCUAACUACGUG
rnacentral:rRNA from 1 species